rnacentral:tRNA from 1 species
GGCAAACUAGUAUAGUGGUCAGUAUACCUGCCUGACACGCGGGAGACCGGGCUCCGAUUCCCCGUUGUGG